GCUGGGUAUGGUGGUGCAUGCCUGUAAUUCCAGUGGCUUGGGAGGCCAAGGCAGGGGGAUCACAAGUUCAAAGCCAGCCUCUGCAAUUUAGUGAGACUCUGUU
rnacentral:sRNA from 1 species